AACUCUUCUUCUCAGAAACUUGCAGUUAAUAUGCUGUCAUUCUGUUGUCUAGCAUUGUAAAAACUUUAUAAAAUAACAAAUAACCAAAAUUUUCGUUUAUAUUAUAUUAAUCUGUCAUAUAAUAUCAAACUGAACAUUCAUAUCAUCUUUCUAAUUUAAUUAUACAGAUUAGAAUGAAUUUUUUUCAAGGAUUAUUUCACCCAAUUGAAACUUUCGUCAACAAUGUAGAAGUGUUUGAUAUCAAGACACCGCAAGACCUCUAUACAUUCUUCAUGCUGUGCCAUCUUUUUUCUUGGACCGUCUUGCUAUGGAAAUUUAAAUAAUCUAUUGGUUUAUUCUUGUACAAAUGGUGAAUCACAGGCUUCAAAUAAUAAUUGUAUUACUAAAAUCUAUAGAAUAUUUAUAGCAAACUGUUUUGUCUUGAAAACAAA